GCCACUUGAUGCAUCUUGGAAAGGCAUCCUCCCUCAGUCCAUCUUGUGAUGAGAACCUGGCCCCAGGCAACAGCUUGCCUGCCAUUUCAUGAAAGACCCUGAGCCAGAGGCACCAAGCUAAGCUGCACCUGAAGUCUUGAUCCACAGAACCUGGGAGAUGACCUAUUUGCUGCCUUCCUCUCUGUCAUCUCACCGAUGUGACAGAGAACAGUGAGAUGCUCGAAGCCAUGGAUAUAGGAGAGGUGCAAGCCGUGUUACUGAAGAAGUAUGCAAUAGCAGAAAGAAGACAGGACAAAUGUCAGGAGACUCGUGCCCAGAGGGGCUGUGAAACUUUGGACUAGCAAUUUAGCUCCUCUCAGUCUCCAAAACCAAUAACCAUCGUGUGCAGUGACCCCAUCUACGAGAGCAUCAGGGCCCCAUGCUCAGAAGAUGUCCUGUGUUUGAGGUUUAAUGC
rnacentral:lncRNA from 1 species